UACGUAGGGGGCUAGCGUUGUCCGGAUUUAUUGGGCGUAAAGAGCGUGUAGGCGGCCAGGUAGGUCUGCUGUGAAAACUCGAGGCUCAACCUCGAGACGUCGGCGGAAACCAUCUGGCUAGAGUCCGGAAGAGGAGAGUGGAAUUCCUGGUGUAGAGGUGAAAUUCGUAGAUAUUCGGAGGAACACCAGUGGCGAAGGCGGCUCACUGGCUCGAUACUGACGCUGAGGUGCGAAAGCGUGGGGGAGCAAACAGG
rnacentral:rRNA from 1 species